rnacentral:misc_RNA from 1 species
AGGCAGCAGUGGGACCCACUCCUACGGGAGGCAGCAGUGGGACUCCUACCGGAGGCAGCAGUGGGACUCCUACGGGAGGCAGCAGUGGGACUCCUACGGGAGGCAGCAGUGGGACUCACUCCUACGGGAGGCAGCAGUGGGGCAGUUGGCUCAGAACGAACGCUGGCGGCUGGCUCAGAACGAACGCUGGCGGCUGGCUCAGAACGAACGCUGGCGGCUGGCUCAGAACGAACGCUGGCGGCUGGCUCAGAACGAACGCUGGCGGCUGGCUCAGAACGAACGCUGGCGGCUGGCUCAGAACGAACGCUGGCGGCUGGCUCAGAACGAACGCUGGCGG